UACGUAGGGCGCAAGCGUUGUCCGGAAUUAUUGGGCGUAAAGAGCUCGUAGGCGGUCUGUUACGUCCGCUGUGAAAACCCAGGGCUUAACCCUGGGCUUGCAGUGGAUACGGGUAGACUAGAGGCAGGUAGGGGAGAAUGGAAUUCCCGGUGUAGCGGUGAAAUGCGCAGAUAUCGGGAGGAACACCUGUGGCGAAAGCGGCUCACUGGACCAUAACUGACGCUGAUGCACGAAAGCUGGGGGAGCAAACAGG
rnacentral:rRNA from 1 species